UGCAUCCUUCUCAUUUUGCCAGUUGGACUCAAGUCUUCAUUGGUAAUUCUAGUGGGGCAAAGAAAGUGUCCUUUUAUAACUGAAGCAAACUGGGUGUUGGUCUUGUAUGCUGUCAAAAGAAACAAUG